AGCGAACGCUGGCGGCAGGCCUAACACAUGCAAGUCGAGCGCCGUAGCAAUACGGAGCGGCAGACGGGAGAGUAACACGUGGGAACGUACCCUUCAGUACGGAACAACCAAGGGAAACUUUGGCUAAUACCGUAUACGUCCGUAAGGAGAAAGAUUUAUCGCUGAAGGAUCGGCCCGCGUCUGAUUAGCUUGUUGGUGAGGUAACGGCUCACCAAGGCGACGAUCAGUAGCUGGUCUGAGAGGAUGAUCAGCCGCACUGGGACUGAGACACGGCCCAGACUCCUACGGGAGGCAGCAGUGGGGAAUAUUGGACAAUGGGCGCAAGCCUGAUCCAGCCAUGCCGCGUGGGUGAUGAAGGCCCUAGGGUUGUAAAGCCCUCUCGGCGGGGAAGAUAGUGACGGUACCCGCAGAAGAAGCCCCGGCUAACUUCGUGCCAGCCGCCGCCGUAAUAC
rnacentral:rRNA from 1 species